rnacentral:rRNA from 1 species
GUGGGGAAUAUUGGACAAUGGGCGCAAGUCUGAUCCAGCAAUGCCGCGUGGGUGAAGAAGGCCUUCGGGUUGUAAACUGCUUUUGUACGGAACGAAACGGUCCGGGUUAAUACCCUGGGCUAAUGACGGUACCGUAAGAAUAAGCACCGGCUAACUACGUGCCAGCAGCCGCGGUAAUACGUAGGGUGCAAGCGUUAAUCGGAAUUACUGGGCGUAAAGCGUGCGCAGGCGGUGUUGUAAGACAGGCGUGAAAUCCCCGGGCUCAACCUGGGAAUUGCGCUUGUGACUGCAAGGCUGGAGUGCGGCAGAGGGGGAUGGAAUUCCGCGUGUAGCAGUGAAAUGCGUAGAUAUGCGGAGGAACACCGAUGGCGAAGGCAAUCCCCUGGGCCUGCACUGACGCUCAUGCACGAAAGCGUGGGGAGCAAACAGGAUUAGAAACCCGAGUAGUCC